UUGGACCUACGGGGGGCAGCAGUGAGGAAUAUUGGUCAAUGGGCGCAGGCCUGAACCAGCCAAGUAGCGUGAAGGAUGACUGCCCUAUGGGUUGUAAACUUCUUUUAUAUGGGAAUAAAGUUUUCCACGUGUGGAAUUUUGUAUGUACCAUAUGAAUAAGGAUCGGCUAACUCCGUGCCAGCAGCCGCGGUAAUACGGAGGAUCCGAGCGUUAUCCGGAUUUAUUGGGUUUAAAGGGAGCGUAGAUGGGUUGUUAAGUCAGUUGUGAAAGUUUGCGGCUCAACCGUAAAAUUGCAAUUGAUACUG
rnacentral:rRNA from 1 species